CCCCUAACCCCUAACCCCUAACCCCUAACCCCUAACCCCUAACCCCUAACCCCUAACCUUUCUGCAUUGCAGGGGCGCUCUUUGCUUUUCAUACCUCUACGUUCCAUUUCUGCAUUGCAGGGGCGCUCUUUCUUUACAUACCUCUAUGUUCCAUUUCCGCAUUGCGAGGGUCUCUUUACUUUUCAUACCUCUAUGUUUCAUUUCUGCAUUGCGGGGGUGCUCUUUCCUUUUCAUACCUCUGUGUUCCAUUUCUGCAUUGCGGGGGCGCUCUUUACUUUUCAUAUGUCUAUGUUUCCUUUCUGCAUUGCAGAGGCGCUCUUUGCUUUUCAUACUUCUAUGUUCAAUUUCCGCAUUGCGAGGGUCUCUUUACUUUUCAUACCUCUAUGUUCACUUUCCGCAUUGCAGGGGCGCUCUUUGCUUUUCAUACCUCUAUGUUCCAUUUCUGCAUUGCGGGGGCACUCUUUACUUUUCAUACGUCUAUGUUUCCUUUCUGCAUUGCAGGAGCGCUCUUUAAUUUUCAUACCUCUAUGUUCCAUUUCCGCAUUGCGAGGGUCUCUUUACUUUUCAUACCUCUAUGUUCCAUUUCUGCAUUGCGGGGGUGCUCUUUCCUUUUCAUACCUCUGUGUUCCAUUUCUGCAUUGCGGGGGCACUCUUUACUUUUCAUAUGUCUAUGUUUCCUUUCUGCAUUGCAGGAGCGCUCUUUAAUUUUCAUACUUCUAUGUUCCAUUUCCGCAUUGCGGGGGUCUCUUUACUUAUCAUACCUCUAUGUUCACUUUCCGCAGUGCAGGGGCGCUCUUUGCUUUUCAUACCUCUAGGUUCCAUUUCUGCAUUGCAGGGGCGCUCUUUGCUUUUCAUUCCUCUAUGUUCCAUUUCCGCAUUGCAGGGUGCUCUUUGCUUUUCAUACCUCUAUGUUCCAUUUCUGCAUUGCAGGAGCGCUCUUCCCUUUUCAUACCUCUGUGUUCCAUUUCUGCAUUGCGGGGGCACUCUUUGAUUUUCAUACGUCUAUGUUUACUUUCUGCAUUGCAGGAGCGCUCUUUACUUUUCAUACUUCUAUGUUCCAUUUCCGCAUUGCCGGGGUCUCUUUACUUUUCAUACCUCUAUGUUCACUUUCCGCAUUGCAGGGGCGCUCUUUGCUUUUCAUACCUCUAUGUUCCUUUUCCGCAUUGCGGGGGCGCUCUUUGCUUUUCAUACCUCUAUGUUCACUUUCCGCAUUGCGGGGGCGCUCUUUACUUUUCGUACCUCUAUGUUCCUCCUAUCCCUCCCUUUCCCGCCUCCGCCUCCGCUCUCUUCUCCCAUUGGUUGUAGUUUGGGAGGUCCCGCCCCUUUCCCCUUCCUUCGCUCCCUCAUUGGUCGAAGCGCGUCCUGGCAGAUAUGUAGUGCGGGGGCGUUUCCCAUCGUAGCCGCAAUAAUACAAAAUAAAUAAUUAUAUAAUAUCAGAGAUAUAUAGUAUUCGAGCUUAUUAAUAAUCGUUACGUAUUAUUAUGUUGUUUGAAUAUUAGGUGUAUGGAUGUGUCAGGAUUGGCGACGGAAGGGACGGGUUGUGUGAUGGACCUGCCGGGACUUGGGGGCGGGGCAAGGGGCGCGGCCUGGCGCGUGAGAGCCGGGGAAGGGAACAGCCAAGAUGGCGGCCGGGGUGAGGCGGGCGAAGCGCCGCUGAGGAGAACAAACUCGGCGGGUGAUCAAAAAAAUCCGAAACUUGGGAGGAGUAGUCCCCUGGCCCGUGGGCUGAUCGUGACAAAAUUGAUGGCAUUGGUGACAGGUAUUAUUACUACAACUAACAGCAACAACAACAACAAUAAUCAUAUCCCGGGAGUUAUCGUUUUGCCUGUCGCCUCUUCUACCCACGAAUGCUGGAACCUCAUCAUUGGAAGUAGUCGAAUUGGAAUCUGUGGGUCCUAGACCGCAAAGAACAACUUGCUGACCCAAAGCGACAGGCAAAAUAAUUAUUACAUGUUCCAGAAGCAUUCUCUCCUGACUUUUCACCCAUACCUAUGGCAGGCAUCCUCUGGCGAGAGAGGGCGGUCUAGAAAUAAAGUUUUAUUAUUAUUUUA